GGCAGGGCAAUGAGGAACUAGAGUAGGCAUCACAGACACUUCAGAGAGCUGACGGUAGGUACGAGUCAGUGUGAAUGUGUUGCUGAAUGGGCUUCGGAGCCUCCAGACCGAAACGACAGGGGCAGGCUUUGGCGGAGAUGUCUCACCGAUACAAGAGACUAGGUAUUGCAGUUCAGUACCGAAAAGUGAGUUUGCAGUCGAUGCAGGCUAAUAAAGUUGGCACCACGGGUUCUUCGUCCUUUUU
rnacentral:ncRNA from 1 species